AGAACGAACGCUGGCGGCAGGCCUAACACAUGCAAGUCGAACGCCGUAGCAAUACGGAGUGGCAGACGGGUGAGUAACGCGUGGGAACAUACCCUUCGGUUCGGAAUAACUCAGGGAAACUUGAGCUAAUACCGGAUACGUCCGAGGUUUUAAUCGACCUUGGAGAAAGAUUUAUCGCCGGAGGAUUGGCCCGCGUCUGAUUAGCUUGUUGGUGAGGUAAUGGCUCACCAAGGCGACGAUCAGUAGCUGGUCUGAGAGGAUGAUCAGCCACAUUGGGACUGAGACACGGCCCAAACUCCUACGGGAGGCAGCAGUGGGGAAUAUUGGACAAUGGGCGAAAGCCUGAUCCAGCCAUGCCGCGUGAGUGAUGAAGGCCUUAGGGUUGUAAAGCUCUUUUACCCGGGAAGAUAAUGACGGUACCGGGAGAAUAAGCCCGGCUAACGUUCGCGCCAGCAGCCGC
rnacentral:rRNA from 1 species